GAUGAACGCUGGCGGCGUGCCUAACACAUGCAAGUCGAACGGAGAUUACGGACGGAAGUUUUCGGAUGGAAGACUGUACUUCUUAGUGGCGGACGGGUGAGUAACGCGUGGGCAACCUGCCCUAUACAGGGGGAUAGCAGCUGGAAACGGCUGGUAAGACCGCAUAAGUCGGCGAGACCGCAUGGUUUUGCCGGGAAAUGAGCAAUCAGGUAUAGGAUGGGCCCGCGUCCGAUUAGCCAGUUGGCAGGGUAAAAGCCUACCAAAGCAACGAUCGGUAGCCGGACUGAGAGGUCGGACGGCCACAUUGGGACUGAGACACGGCCCAAACUCCUACGGGAGGCAGCAGUGGGGGAUAUUGCACAAUGGAGGAAACUCUGAUGCAGCGACGCCGCGUGAGUGAAGAAGUAUUUCGGUAUGUAAAGCUCUAUCAGCAGGGAAGAUGAUGACGGUAUCUGACUAAGAAGCCCCGGCUAACUACGUG
rnacentral:rRNA from 1 species